GUUAGCAUGUACGCGUGCAUUUUUGUUAACAGACCAAAUCAUGCUUAGUAACUUGGACUGUGACGUAAUCAUUCUGCGACAUAACCCAUGCGACCAAAACUCCUGACUUCCUGGUUUCCUAAACUCUGACGUCGUGGUGGACCCUGUACCCGCUUCCGUUGCCGCGGGGGUCGUGCCCCUUGUCUUGACCUUUGCCCUGGGCGUGGCUGGUGUAGUGGCGGAUGAACCGGGAGCGCCGCACGAGCAGGUGGAGCAGGAAGCACAGCAUUUCCAUCCCGAUGGAGAUGAGGAAGAAGAUGAGCGUGUUCCUGCGCUCGUCUGGGAUCAGCAGCUUGGUGAAGAUGCGGGACAAGGAGAUGAUGACGCCUGCCGUGCCUGGAAACGUGGUGAAGAUCUGAGAGUGUGUAUGCAGUCACAAAGUAUCUUACCAGUCUCCGACAACGCCAGGACGCCUCUCUCCGGGACGUCUUUGCUGAUCUCCUCCUCCUCCAGCUGGGUCAGUGACCGCCUCACAGCAUCGGGUCCCCCUGGUGUUCUGCACAGCUCUAAUGAGAUUGUUGUAGCAACAGGAGAUGACACUAUUAAGAAAACAUCUCCUGCUGCAUGGCUGACAUGUUCCACACUGACAAGAUAAAAGAAAAUGCAAUGAAGAUGAAGAUGGAUGUUUAAAGGUCAGACAUAUUCAAGAGCCCCCUCCUCUUCGGGUUCUUUCCAUUCCUCCAUGGACCCAUCUUCCAUCCCUGUCACCUCUUCUCUCGAAUGUCCGAAUGCUUCUCUCCACCUCCAUCAGCUUCAAAGAGCUGUCUCUGUGGCAGACCUCCAGGGCACCUGCCUCUUUGAGCGGAAUCAAAUCAUCCAUCUCAAACUGCUUUUCUAUGUGUGUGUGCGUGUGUGUGUAUGGACUGCUGUGAAGUGCAUUAAGUCCCAAGGCAAAGCUACAGCAAACAAGCCAAACAAAAGCAAUGAACAAGCGAGUGAAUCUGGAUAAAGUGAUGAUGUUGCUGCUAACCAAUAUUACUAAUAAUUAUUAUA